CCCUGGGGGCGUGCCUAAUACAUGCAAGUCGAGCGGACAGAUGGGAGCUUGCUCCCUGAUGUUAGCGGCGGACGGGUGAGUAACACGUGGGUAACCUGCCUGUAAGACUGGGAUAACUCCGGGAAACCGGGGCUAAUACCGGAUGGUUGUCUGAACCGCAUGGUUCAGACAUAAAAGGUGGCUUCGGCUACCACUUACAGAUGGACCCGCGGCGCAUUAGCUAGUUGGUGAGGUAACGGCUCACCAAGGCGACGAUGCGUAGCCGACCUGAGAGGGUGAUCGGCCACACUGGGACUGAGACACGGCCCAGACUCCUACGGGAGGCAGCAGUAGGGAAUCUUCCGCAAUGGACGAAAGUCUGACGGAGCAACGCCGCGUGAGUGAUGAAGGUUUUCGGAUCGUAAAGCUCUGUUGUUAGGGAAGAACAAGUGCCGUUCAAAUAGGGCGGCACCUUGACGGUACCUAACCAGAAAGCCACGGCUAACUACGUGCCAGCAGCCGCGGUAAUACGUAGGUGGCAAGCGUUGUCCGGAAUUAUUGGGCGUAAAGGGCUCGCAGGCGGUUUCUUAAGUCUGAUGUGAAAGCCCCCGGCUCAACCGGGGAGGGUCAUUGGAAACUGGGGAACUUGAGUGCAGAAGAGGAGAGUGGAAUUCCACGUGUAGCGGUGAAAUGCGUAGAGAUGUGGAGGAACACCAGUGGCGAAGGCGACUCUCUGGUCUGUAACUGACGCUGAGGAGCGAAAGCGUGGGGAGCGAACAGGAUUAGAUACCCUGGUAGUCCACGCCGUAAACGAUGAGUGC
rnacentral:rRNA from 1 species